rnacentral:lncRNA from 1 species
ACACUCAUUUUCGCACGUGCGGGAGCAUUUGCGUCCGAUGGCCUCGUCGUCAGCCGAGAAUAAAAGAACUGCGAAGCAGUUUUGCUGCGUCCCGCAAUGCACGUCGGCGAGGUGGAAAGAUAGGACAGUGUCUUUUCAUAAGUUUCCCUCUUUUCCGAGUGAACGGCGAAGAAGAGCGGCGUGGAUAGCCAACCUACGCAUCGGCAAAGAAGUGACUCCGACGAUGAUCGUUUGUUCACGGCACUUCACGAAAGGCGACUUCUUUUUUCCAGUGCAAGAGGAGGAGACUUAAAGGGACAGCUGUGCCGUCAGAAAACCUACCUAAGUCUUCAACGUACGACGAAAACAAAGCCAUUCGGCUGAAAGACUUGGCCACCGGCAGGCAGCACAGACAUGCCCAACGUUCAGCGAAGAAUGAAGAAAGCCAGCAGUAUGGGCAU